rnacentral:rRNA from 1 species
UACAGAGGUCUCGAGCGUUGUUCGGAUUCAUUGGGCGUAAAGGGCGCGUAGGCGGCGGGGUAAGUCUGGUGUGAAAUCUCGGAGCUCAACUCCGAAACUGCACUGGAUACUGCUCUGCUAGAGGGCUGGAGAGGAGAUCGGAAUUCACGGUGUAGCAGUGAAAUGCGUAGAUAUCGUGAGGAAGACCAGUGGCGAAGGCGGAUCUCUGGACAGCUCCUGACGCUGAGGCGCGAAAGCGUGGGGAGCAAACAGG